rnacentral:rRNA from 1 species
CAAUAGCGUAUAUUUAAGUUGCUGCAGUUAAAAAGCUCGUAGUUGGAUUUCGGGUGGGAAUGGCCGGUCCGCCGUUUCGGUGUGCACUUGCUACGCCCACCUUGCUGCCGGGGACGUGCUCUUGAGUUCACGCUCGGGACACGGAGUCGGCGAGGUUACUUUGAGUAAAUUAGAGUGUUCAAAGCAGGCCUACGUUCUGAAUACAUUAGCAUGGAAUAACACGAUAGGACUCUGGCCUAUCUUGUUGGUCUGUAGGACCGGAGUAAUGAUUAAGAGGGACAGUCGGGGGCAUUCGUAUUUCAUUGUCAGAGGUGAAAUUCUUGGAUUUAUGAAAGACGAACUACUGCGAAAGCAUUUGCCAAGGAUGUUUUCAUUAA